rnacentral:rRNA from 1 species
GACGAACGCUGGCGGCGUGCUUAACACAUGCAAGUCGAACGAUGAACCCGGAGCUUGCUCUGGGGGAUUAGUGGCGAACGGGUGAGUAACACGUGAGUAACCUGCCCUGGACUCUGGGAUAAGCGUUGGAAACGACGUCUAAUACCGGAUAGGACCUCGAACCGCAUGGUUUGGGGUGGAAAGUUUUUCGGUCUGGGAUGGACUCGCGGCCUAUCAGCUUGUUGGUGAGGUAAUGGCUCACCAAGGCGUCGACGGGUAGCCGGCCUGAGAGGGUGACCGGCCACACUGGGACUGAGACACGGCCCAGACUCCUACGGGAGGCAGCAGUGGGGAAUAUUGCACAAUGGGCGCAAGCCUGAUGCAGCAACGCCGCGUGCGGGAUGACGGCCUUCGGGUUGUAAACCGCUUUUAGUAGGGAAGAAGGGCUUCGGCUUGACGGUACCUGCAGAAAAAGGACCGGCUAACUACGUGCCAGCAGCCGCGGUAAUACGUAGGGUCCGAGCGUUGUCCGGAAUUAUUGGGCGUAAAGAGCUCGUAGGCGGUUUGUCGCGUCUGCUGUGAAAUCUGGAGGCUCAACCUCCAGCCUGCAGUGGGUACGGGCAGACUAGAGUGCGGUAGGGGAGAAUGGAAUUCCUGGUGUAGCGGUGGAAUGCGCAGAUAUCAGGAGGAACACCGAUGGCGAAGGCAGUUCUCUGGGCCGUAACUGACGCUGAGGAGCGAAAGCGUGGGGAGCGAACAGGAUUAGAUACCCUGGUAGUCCACGCCGUAAACGUUGGGCGCUAGAUGUGGGGACCUUUCCACGGUUUCCGUGUCGUAGCUAACGCAUUAAGCGCCCCGCCUGGGGAGUACGGCCGCAAGGCUAAAACUCAAAGGAAUUGACGGGGGCCCGCACAAGCGGCGGAGCAUGCGGAUUAAUUCGAUGCAACGCGAAGAACCUUACCAAGGCUUGACAUGACCGAGAACGCCGCAGAAAUGUGGAACUCUUUGGACACUCGGUUACAGGUGGUGCAUGGUUGUCGUCAGCUCGUGUCGUGAGAUGUUGGGUUAAGUCCCGCAACGAGCGCAACCCUCGUCGCAUGUUGCCAGCACGUAAUGGUGGGAACUCAUGUGAGACUGCCGGGGUCAACUCGGAGGAAGGUGGGGAUGACGUCAAAUCAUCAUGCCCCUUAUGUCUUGGGCUUCACGCAUGCUACAAUGGCCGGUACAAAGGGCUGCGAUGUCGUAAGGCGGAGCGAAUCCCAAAAAGCCGGUCUCAGUUCGGAUUGAGGUCUGCAACUCGACCUCAUGAAGUCGGAGUCGCUAGUAAUCGCAGAUCAGCAACGCUGCGGUGAAUACGUUCCCGGGCCUUGUACACACCGCCCGUCAAGUCAUGAAAGUCGGUAACACCCGAAGCCGGUGGCCUAACCCUUGUGGAGGGAGCCGUCGAAGGUGGGAUCGGUGAUUAGG